rnacentral:rRNA from 1 species
AACGAACGCUGGCGGCAGGCCUAACACAUGCAAGUCGAGCGGACAUCUUCGGAUGUUAGCGGCGGACGGGUGAGUAACGCGUGGGAACGUGCCCUUUGCUUCGGAAUAGCCUCGGGAAACUGGGAGUAAUACCGGAUGUACCCUUUGGGGGAAAGAUUUAUCGGCAAAGGAUCGGCCCGCGUUGGAUUAGGUAGUUGGUGGGGUAAUGGCCUACCAAGCCGACGAUCCAUAGCUGGUUUGAGAGGAUGAUCAGCCACACUGGGACUGAGACACGGCCCAGACUCCUACGGGAGGCAGCAGUGGGGAAUCUUAGACAAUGGGGGAAACCCUGAUCUAGCCAUGCCGCGUGAGCGAUGAAGGCCUUAGGGUUGUAAAGCUCUUUCACCGGGGAAGAUAAUGACAGUACCCGGAGAAGAAGCCCCGGCUAACUCCGUG